ensembl:lncRNA
ACGCACAGUUUCCCAGCAUGCAGCAGGAGAUUUGGCUGAGGGCUCUUCUUCAUACCUGCGUGUGCAAUGAGAUCGGCCGCUGCGCAAACACUCCCGACUAGACCGUCCGAACAAGAGCUCAAAAAUGCCUUAUCCAACAGCGUCGCAGGACAGAACCACGUCUCCAACUCCAGCAGACCAGCAGCAGCACAGUGCAGAACAAAGACGUCCACAGACACUUUUAAUUGUAGUUCUUUGCAUCAUCAUGGCGAUAAUCAAGAAAAUGCAGAUAAAUGUGAUAUUGCCGAGGGCACUUGGAAUCUGAACAACCGGGUGAAGGCCUCGAGGAACCAUCAGGAGCUUCGCAUGGAGCUGUUACAGGCCCACAAAAAAGGGCCGCUGGCGUGCUGUAAGCCGGAGCUUCAGAUGGUUCUGGAGAAGAGGAAGAGAGAGCAGACCCAGAGAGAGGAGGGAGAGCAGAGCAGGAGUCCUCUGGAGCAGGUGCUGCUCGAACGCCAGCACAAACAUCAGGAGAUGAUGAAGGAGAAGGAGGAGGAGCAGAGGCUACGUGAGGAGGUGCAGCUCUUGGAGUUCGUCCGAGUGAGACAGAACCUGAGGAAGGUCCGCACAGCUCUACAGAAGAGCCUUCACUCCUGAAUCUGACCAGCGCUGAUCUGACUAAACACAAAUACAGGACACGGUGUUUCAUUAUAUUCAUUAUUUUUGUUAUUAAACUUUUUCACAGUCUGUUACAGUACACUACUUUUCAUUGUGUUCUGUAAUAAUUAAAUAAUGUUUAAAAAACACAUCUUAAAACACCAUUAGCAAUUACUGAUAGGCCCUAAUACUGUAAAACUAUACAAAAUCAGCUGAAAUCAUUCUGUCAUUUUCUUUAACUUUUUUGUUGAGAGUGGAGGCCAGUUUUAUUGUAAAACCCGAAAUGUGAUUAAAUAAAAAACACAAUUCUACCA